AUUUUAGUAGUUCAUAUUCUAGAACGCAGCACUGAAGAUGCUGAAAAGGGGGUUUCCCCCUAAAAUA
rnacentral:tRNA from 1 species